rnacentral:rRNA from 1 species
CGGAUUGCAGGCUGCAACUCGCCUGCAUGAAGUCGGAAUUGCUAGUAAUCGCGGAUCAGCAUGCCGCGGUGAAUACGUUCCCGGGCCUUGUACACACCGCCCGUCACACCAUGAGAGCCGGUAACACCCGAAGUCAGUAGUCUAACCGCAAGGGGGACGCUGCCGAAGGUGGGGCUGGUGAUUGGGGUGAAGUCGUAACAAGGUAUC